UAUAUAAGUGCAUGUUUAUAUAGGAAAAGUUGGGGAGACCUGACGCUGAAAGAUGGACUCGCGUCCCAUUAGCUAGUUGGUAGGGUAAUGGCCUACCAAGGCGACGAUGGGUAGCCGGCCUGAGAGGGUGGCCGGCCACACUGGGACUGAGACACGGCCCAGACUCCUACGGAAGGCAGCAG
rnacentral:rRNA from 1 species